GGCAUAAGAAAAAUGGCAUUUUUAAUCCCUGGAGGUUCACUCGCGACCGCAUAGUAGAGCUAACUUCUAGUUUGAGUCAUUUUGGUCCUCAAGUUUCAUUCCUUCACUCCUUGACCUCCUCUCUUGUUCCUAGUUGCUCCAAUGUUCCCUUAUAACUUCCAAUUGGUGCUUGGCUUGAUCAAUUGCUUGAUGUGUUCAUCGGGUCAACUUUCAGAUAAUUGCAAUUUGGUCCCUGAAUUUUCAUUUUGCUCCAAUUUGGUCCUUUUUCGGCUCUUUUCUCCUGAAUUCCACUAUUUCCAUAGAAUUUCCUACAUU
rnacentral:lncRNA from 1 species